UCACCAUUGGCCAUGUUGGUUGAAUUGUGCUAGAAAUUAUAGUCAGGGGGAAUAUUAGAUUUCCCUACCUUGAUAUGGAGAGAUGAAAAGACAGGGAAACUAAAGGAAAGACAAUGGAAAUCAAAGAGCACCAUCUGCACAAAAGAAGAAGGUAUCUCUAGCUCUGAGGAAAAACCAAAGAUUGGCAGAAGCUCAAAAACAUUUUUAGGAAAGAGUAGGGGAAAGAUUAGAGCGGAUCAUCCAUCUGAGCCAACUGAGAACUGCUCGAGGUGGGAAGCCAGGUUGAUUCUUUUGUUUCUUGGAAAGGAAAUAUUUUCAAGAGCAACUGUUACAGUUCAACUUUGAAAUGGCUGAAUGGAAAAAUAAGCAAACACACGCAAACCUCCCCCGCCUUCUCUUCAACCCCACCCCCCCUCAAUAUGGAGUGCAAUAAAUAUCAGGCAAA